GAUAGUACGACAGCCGGUGCAGGUACAUAAGUCAGUAGCAGGUGAUAGUACAACAGCCGGUACAGGUACAUAAGUCAGUAGCAGGUGAUAGUACGACACCCGGUGCAGGUACAUAAGUCAGUAGCAGGUGAUAGUAUGACAGCCGGUGCA